AUUUCCCAAAGAGACGUAGGGGAGGGAGGGAACAUCGAGAAGGGAAGCGUGACAGAGGGGUGAGCGCACGUCCGUGUUGAGCGCUUUUGGUUGCAAGUGACAGCUGGCUCAGGUUAUCUGAGUUCGUGGAGGGCUUGAUUCAUCAACAAGAAGGGGUUGGAGGUGAGAAGGCCUCCGGAAGGGGGGCUGCUGCACAGGUGUCCUGGGCUUAGCUGUUCCAGGGAGGAAGGUGGGGAGGAAGGCGUGAAUCGUUCAUUCAGCAAAGAGCGCCCGCAGGCACAGUUCCAGACUCCAGAUGCAAGGAUGAGCCGGGCCUGGUCUUCCCCUCCCUGUCCUUCCCAACUGUCCCCUCCCUGGCCCUCCCCAGCCCUCCAACUGUCCCCGACUUCGGCACAGCUCACGUGCACCGGUGACAGGUGAGCUGAAUGGCAUGGCUCUGGGCACGGACUCACCAAGCGAUGUUGUCGUCCACUGUUCAAGAGGUGAUCAGCGGGAGAACUUGCCCUGGCCCUGGAUGGAAACUCACCUGCAGGCGUCCACCGCUUUCCUGGGCACCCUUGGGGAGUAGAGAAACCGUGCAGUCAUUUCACGUUGCCAGACGUGGUCCCCGCUCAGGAAUUGGGAUGCCGUGUGUCGUAGAAGAGUCAAAGCUUCGAGUGACCACUAACGGCACUGAAUGCCGCCCCCCAACCCCCGCCACCGCUCCCAGAGCUGGAGCAGGGGGAAGGAGGCCAGCGUGAGGGCGGGGGAGCAGACCUCCUACUCUUGAUGGUCGCUGUCCUAAACCUGCCUCCCUCCUGGGCCUGGCCGGGGCUUAGCUCUUCUCUCAUCCUGGUGGGGGACACUCGCAGGGAUCUGUGGCGACCCCUCUGCCCCUCCUCCUCCCCCCCAGCUCAAGGCCUCUGGUGAGCACUUCCGCAUGCGCAUGCUGUGGCCAAUCUUCCCCCCUCCCACCCCUCCACCUUUGCAGCCCCUGGGAAUCCAGUGAUCCCCCCCCCCCCCCACAGCUUCCUACUUCUGAGCCCUGUUCACCUGCUCAGGACCUCAGGAGGACCCCAGGUGGGCUUGUGGCCUGUGUAGCUCAGGUCUGGCUCAGGGGAGAGGCUUUGCAACUUCUGCCCUGUCAAAGUUGGCAUGUGCCAGCCAGCCCCGGUGCCCCCUCCCCUCUGGCUCUCUCUUCUGGCAGAUCUGACACCAGAGCUCCGAACCCCCGCCACUAGGGGCCCAUUUCAGGCGCUCUCCGUGUCUCCGAAGAGCCUUAUCACUAGGCUUAAGGUGUCGAGGGAUCUCCCGCCGCCCACCCGACACUCACACGUGAUGCACACACAGCGCUGAAGAGGAGAAGGGCUCAGUACAAUUCUGCAAGGAAACCAUCUCUACAAAUUACCUGUUUAAGUAUCUGGGUUCUUUUAUGCCCUUGCGGUGGGCGAGGAUGAAAGAAGGAACAGGUUUUGGAAUGAGGCCAGGCAUGAAGACACCUGAAGCCGGGAGGCCGGCCACCUGCACGAGUUCCCAUCUUGUGGUGCUGCUUCUCAUUGGAUGCUAACGUCCUCCUUUCUGGCUGGGCCCGGUUUACUACACGUAGCCCAGGCUCGGCCUGGUGCCCACCCAGGAUCCUGUACCGGGGUUCUAAAUCCUAGAUCAUACCCAGAGUAUUGGCCCCAGAAGGAGCCUUAGCAGUGAUGGCCCAAGCCUCUACUGUGCAGGCGACGAGUGUGAGGCCAGAAAGGAAAACUAAGAGCACAUACCGAAGCUUCACUUGGCCAAUCUGAUACAUCCUGAACCAGCGCGGAAGCUACUCUUUCUGACGGAAUCAGCCACCCGGGGACAUUUCCAAAGCCAAACCACCCGCCAGGGCUAACACACAA